rnacentral:lncRNA from 1 species
ACAUCUCUUGGAGUUCUAGCUCACCUUUCUGGUGUUGUUCUUGUACUCAUCUGUUUAAUCUAGUUCUGCCACUUCUUCUUGAACUUCUUGUUAGAUUUCAAGUCUGUAUUUUGUGUCCGUGACAUAAGUCUUUUAAAGAUUAUGACAACUUUAAUUUGGACUGCUAUUCUUAUAUAAAGAUUUACUUUUAAUAUAUCUAUUUUUUCAAUUUUCUC